CUGACCUUCGGAUCAGGAAGGAACCC
rnacentral:rRNA from 1 species